GUUCCUACUGGGCAUCCGAUAAAAUUGAAAUCAUGCAGAGAAUAUUAGCAUGUCUCCUGCAGAAGAUGACAAACAGAAAUGAGAAAAAUAUUCCUCACUU
rfam:Vigna angularis cultivar Jingnong 6 chromosome 9, whole genome shotgun sequence.